GUGAAUCAUCGAAUUUUUGAACGCAAAUUGCACUCUCUUCGGAGAGUAUGCGUGUUUGAGGGUCAGCCUAAAAAAAAAUCGAAAUAGUUGUUGUUUCGCGGUGACAUUCGUCGGCACUUGGGUUAUCUUAAAUUUUUGGGUUUUAAGCGGCUUAAAAUUUUCUUUACGAUUUUACGAACGUUUUUAAGUUUUAUUUCUUAUAUGUGCAAGGUAUCGAUCUUUAUUAGAUGUGGCU
rnacentral:misc_RNA from 1 species